GCCGGGCACUCGUGGAGGGACUGCCGGCGACAAGCCGGAGGAAGGUGGGGAGUGACGUCAAGUCAUCAUGGCCCUUAUGUCCAGGGCGACACACGUGCUACAAUGGCCGGUACAGAGCGCAGCGAGGCCGCGAGGCGGAGCGAAUCGCUUAAAGCCGGUCCUAGUACGGAUUGGAGUCUGCAACCCGACUCCAUGAAGUUGGAAUCGCUAGUAAUCGCGCAUCAGCAUGGCGCGGUGAAUACGUUCCCGGGCCUU
rnacentral:rRNA from 1 species